GUGGUUUGUGAGAGGCAGUGGCCUGAGGGGAAGACAGGGUUUGUGGAGGAACCCAGGAGGGGCUGCCGGAGGGAUAACUUUAAAAUGACGCAAUGGCGACUACAUCUUCUGCUCCUACCACGCCAUAGGAAGACUCGCCCAUGCACAGGAUUGGAAUUCGAUCAGCACAGGAAGAAGAAACUAAUCUAAAAUCUAGCUGCAGUGUGAGAU
rnacentral:lncRNA from 1 species